rnacentral:rRNA from 1 species
AGCGAACGCUGGCGGCAGGCCUAACACAUGCCAGUCGAACGAACUCUUCGGAGUUAGUGGCGGACGGGUGAGUAACACGUGGGAACGUGCCUUUAGGUUCGGAAUAACUCAGGGAAACUUGUGCUAAUACCGAAUGUGCCCUUCGGGGGAAAGAUUUAUCGCCUUUAGAGCGGCCCGCGUCUGAUUAGCUAGUUGGUGAGGUAAAGGCUCACCAAGGCGACGAUCAGUAGCUGGUCUGAGAGGAUGAUCAGCCACAGUGGGACUGAGACACGGCCCAAACUCCUACGGGAGGGUGCAGUAGGGAAUCUUGCGCAAUGGGCGAAAGCCUGACGCAGCCAUGCCGCGUGAAUGAUGAAGGUCUUAGUAUUGUAAAAUUCUUUCUCCGGGGACGAUAAUGACGGUACCCGGAGAAGAAGCCCCGGCUAACUUCGUG